AAGAAUUUGAGCUUACAUUCAAUGGAGAAGAUUGUGAAGGAGGCGAGCCUAUAUAUAAUGAGGAUGUUGCUCUUAUUUCUAAUUCGAGAGACUACCAUGCUGGAGAGGCCGAAGGUAUCUCUGCUCAUGGAAGGAAUGAGACUAAGCUUGAUCAAGAUACCAAGAUUCCAUGUUGAUUGAAUGUUCAACUAGUUGUUGUAUUAAAGCUUUUGUAAAAGAAAGCGGGUGCAAAGAUUCUCUCAUGUUUGUUAAUCCUUUAUUUGUUGCCAUUUAUCAUG
rnacentral:lncRNA from 1 species